rnacentral:rRNA from 1 species
GACGAACGCUGGCGGCGUGCCUAAUACAUGCAAGUCGAACGCUUCUUUCCUCCCGAGUGCUUGCCCUCAAUUGGAAAGAGGAGUGGCGGACGGGUGAGUAACACGUGGGUAACCUACCCAUCAGAGGGGGAUAACACUUGGAAACAGGUGCUAAUACCGCAUAACAGUUUAUGCCGCAUGGCAUAAGAGUGAAAGGCGCUUUCGGGUGUCGCUGAUGGAUGGACCCGCGGUGCAUUAGCUAGUUGGUGAGGUAACGGCUCACCAAGGCCACGAUGCAUAGCCGAACUGAGAGGGUGAUCGGCCACACUGGGACUGAGACACGGCCCAGACUCCUACGGGAGGCAGCAGUAGGGAAUCUUCGGCAAUGGACGAAAGUCUGACCGAGCAACGCCGCGUGAGUGAAGAAGGUUUUCGGAUCGUAAAACUCUGUUGUUAGAGAAGAACAAGGACGUUAGUAACUGAACGUCCCCUGACGGUAUCUAACCAGAAAGCCACGGCUAACUACGUG